CCUUUCGCGGGCCAACAAAGUAUAAAAACCUCACCGUAUAUCGAACUAGCCUUUUCUCCUCUGUCGUCUCUAUUCGCUUCCCUCAUCCUCCAACUUAUAUAGGGCUUUUGGGAACGAGAAGUCAUCGGCGCCAAAUCCUUCUCAGUAUAUAGAAGAAGAACAUCAUGCCGGGGCCCACAUUGGAGAUGGAACCAGUGGAGCCGCAGUCGCUGAAGAAGCUCAGUCUCAAAUCCCUCAAACGAUCUCUCGAUCUCUUCUCCCCGGCCCAAGGCGAGCUCCCCUCUCCCGACCCCGAGAGUAAAACAAUUCGCACAAGCCACAAGAUAAGCAUGGAGUAUGUAGGAAUUCAGCCCACGGCUAGCCAAAAACCGCCUCGCCGGGCUGAGUCUGGUGCGCUGGGAAGUGGUUCUGAAGGGCCUUCCAAUGCCCUUGCCCUCACAGAUUCUAAGGAAAUGCAGACUGGAGGAGCUCAAAACGCUUUGGUUGUCGGUCCAUCUGCACCAAGGGCACCGAAUACUAUUGGUAAUUCGGACAGAGGCACUGUAGCUGUUUCUGCUCCAGGGUCUUCUCACAGGUUUUCAACAUCGGCCAUGAUGGAAAGAAUUUCCAGCAGAUGGCCACGUCCCGAUUGGCAUGCCCCUUGGAAGAUUUACAGAGUUAUUAGCGGCCACUUGGGAUGGGUACGAUCUAUUGCCUUUGACCCAAGUAAUAGAUGGUUCUGCACUGGUUCAGCAGACCGCACUAUCAAGAUUUGGGAUGUUGCAACUGGAACUCUACAACUGACAGUGACAGGACACAUUGAGCAAAUACGAGGCCUUGCAGUUAGCAGCAGGCAUACCUAUAUGUUCUCUGCUGGAGAUGACAAACUAGUUAAAUGCUGGGAUCUUGAACAGAAUAAGGUUAUCCGUUCAUAUCAUGGUCAUUUAAGUGGCGUUUACUGCUUGGCUCUUCAUCCGACUCUUGAUGUUUUACUUACCGGGGGACGUGAUUCUGUAUGCCGGGUUUGGGAUAUCCGAAGCAAGAUGCAAGUUCAUGCAUUGUCGGGGCAUGACAACACAGUUUGCUCUGUUUUUACUCGACCAACAGAUCCACAAGUUGUUACUGGAUCUCACGACACAACAAUCAAAUUUUGGGACCUUAGAUAUGGAAAAACAAUGUCAACUCUGACACACCAUAAAAAGUCUGUGCGUGCAAUGGCCCAGCAUCCUAGAGAGCAUUGUUUUGCAUCUGCAUCAGCUGAUAACAUUAAGAAGUUCAACCUCCCAAGAGGCGAAUUUUUACACAACAUGCUGUCUCAGCAGAAAACCAUAAUCAAUGCAAUGGCUGUCAACGAAGAUGGGGUUUUGGCCACAGGAGGCGAUAAUGGGAGCAUGUGGUUUUGGGAUUGGAGGAGCGGCCACAAUUUUCAGCAAUCCCAAACAAUUGUACAACCCGGCUCGCUGGAUAGUGAAGCUGGUAUAUAUGCCCUUUCAUACGAUGUCACCGGUACGAGGCUGGUCAGUUGUGAAGCCGAUAAGACUAUCAAGAUGUGGAGGCAAGAUGAAAAUGCCACUCCGGAAACUCACCCUCUCAACUUUAGGCCCCCUAAGGAUAUUCGACGGUUCUAGAGGUGAUCCUCCGUUGUGGUUGCUCUCUGUUCAGUGACGUGCUUAAUUUUAUCUCACAAGUGAUCGACCAUUUAAUUGUUUAGCGAUGGCUUGUUACGGUGGUUGUGCUGCUCGUCGCUAUGAGAUAAACUGUGCAAAUUUUGAUGCGUUAUAUUACUCGUAGAUUCAACAGCCUCAUGGAGAAGGGGAGUUCGGAGCACAAACCUAUUUUAACAUCGAGAAGAGAAACACGGCUAAACAAAGGGCUACGUGGUCCAUCCGCAAAACUCGAAGCUACUCGAGAUUUGCGUCGGAGCCAAGAUUAAAACCUUAAUUUGGAGACGAUUCACAUGUUGAGCGACAGCCAACAGGAUUGACCUUUGCUUGCGAUGCAAUGUUGUUUAUUUGGUUUCCAAAACCAAUGCACUCUGUAUUUUAUACAUCUUGUGGCUGAGUUGAGUGAUCUCUCCUUUUAUUCUUAAA